ACAGCUCCACACAGUAGAUGAAGAAAUAGAAUAAGGUGGAGAACAGUAAAUGUAAACUUUCUGAUAUUAUGAAACACAAUUUUGACAGCGUAUAUAGCCUUACACCAUCUCUUUAAAAGUCAUUGAAAAAAUUAAAUACUCAUUGUGAUUAUGUAAUGUAUGAAUUCCUACAAAUAUUUUAUUUACCAAAUCUGUAAGGUGCUGGAAAAACCUGACUUGGGACGAUGAAAGUUCUUGAAAAGUGCUUGAAUUUGACCUUGGAAAAAGGUGUUUGAACAUCCACAGGAUGAUUUAGGUACCUUGAGAGACGAGGCGAUGGAGAAGGAGCGGGGCUGGAUCUCGGGGAAAAGGUCCAGGAGAUAGUCUGCUUUGAUUUCUGUUGUCGUGUGAGGGAAAUCUGUCAAAACCUGCAGCGAGACAAGCAUCACAUUCUUGCGCCCUCUGCUGUCACCUCCAGUGCCGUGCGUCGCGGCUGGUUGCAGUAGCUGUGCAGGUCAGUCUGACCCUCUGCUGAGCUGAACUCCUUCAGCUUAUCCUGCUCCAGCUCGUUGGUGGCGAAGGUCGACAGCAGCUCGAAGAAGGAGCGGCGAGGAACGGCGGCGAUGUCCAAGUAGGUCUCCACCAGGUGGCGCACGGUGCAGGGCUGAGGAAGCCUGGCAGGAACUGAGAAGAUGAGUAGGUUUUUCCAAAGAAAUCAAGUUUGGACAAAUAUUACAUUCCACACAGAACUACUGGUCCUGACGAGGUCGUAAAGAGGUAACAAAUACAAGGAAACCCACACACACUUACCUGCAGUGUUGUCUGUUGCUCUGAGUGCAAACGUCGCCUCAGGAUUUAAUCUCAGCAGUUGGCAGAAUUGUUGGACGUCUGCAGGUGCGUUACACGGAUACAUCAUCACCACGUCACCAGCACCGAACCUGCACAACAGCAUCAUCACAGAUAAUGACAACUCAAGCCUUUAUAACAUCAACUAUUUCCACACUAAAGGAGGAGGAAAACAAUCCUGUAUAUGUGUCAGGACCUCAUACAAUUGCACUUAAAUAAACUUUGAUGUUCACUUACUGGAUCCUGGAUCCACUGAUGUCGAACUCGAUGUGCCUCACGUCCUGGAAGUGAGACGUGUCGGUCACUCUCCUGUUGGACACCAGUUUGGCAGGAAAGGGUUGAGACUGAGAGGGAACAGUUUGUUCGGUGGAAAUCCUGCACCUGUCGUCUGCUUCCUCCUUCACAUCAUCCAGGAAGUGGAAGGUGUACGUCGGAGGGAGUCUGAAACAUAAAACCCCCAAAUCUAAAUCUAAAAAAACCAGAAUGAGAACCUGUUUAUUUCUAAAAUUAAAGUGGAGACUCACGGUUCAUCCUCCCUCAGUGGAUUCACGGCAGCUAAAGACGGGUACAAGGCAAACACCUUCUCCCACAGUGAUGUGAGCCAUGGGUCAAUAACGGCGUCUGCCCUGUUUCAAGCACAUGACCGUGAACAUAUGACGUUCGGAGGAAGAAAAAACAAACUUCCACUUCAUGUUCAGGAACUAACACUGCCUCUUACCCCAGGUCGUGUUGAUCGUCUGCCAGUCCAGCAGGCAGCAGAGGACUGGCUCCCAGCUGCAGCAGCCGCUUAUGGAGCUUCUUAGCCACAAAGUUGAACCUUUAAAUCAAACCGUUUCUGAUUAUUAAAAGGAUAGUUAAAGUUUUAAGCAAGAUAAGUGUAAACGUGGAGAGACUGACUUUGGAUACGAAGAGUCCCCGAGGCCCAGUACAGCACAAUCCAGGCGACUCA